GUAGAUCCUAAUGUUGCUCUCCCUGGAGCUGGGCUGCAGGAAGUCUGGGCCCCCGGCUCGCACUCCCGGACCCCGCACCAACCUCCAGGGUCGCUCUCCAAUCUUAACCAGGUUUGCUCCCUGAGCGUACCCAGGUGCUACAGCAUCAGCUUCCCUUGCCGCUUCCUGCGGCUGAAGGGAUGGUCCGACCAAAGCCUCCUGCCCUGGGGCAGCCGAUGCCACUGCAUGCUUUUUCCUGCGCUUGGGCUUCACGGUGCCACGGAUAUUGGCCGGCUUGCUGCGCUUGGAGCGUAGGGUAAUGUACACCACAUUGGGCUGCAGAGUGGACCCAUUGCCCUGGGACUCUGGAGGGGCCAGGGUACCAUCCAGGGGUAUCUCAGGGAAGGAUGGCUCGGCGGUGUCGCGGCUGCGAUGUGGCCCCUUCUCAGCCGCCUGUCCAUGCUGGAGAGAGGCCCUCCCCACCUGGCUCACCAGGAAGCCCAAGUAGAUGGCACACGCAGUGCCCAGCAGAAGGUUUCUCCGGGUCCUUGGACGCCGGCUGCUCCAGAGCUUACGCACCCGCGGGACGCACAGGGAGCAGAUGAACCAGUUUAUGAGCUGCCCCGGCUUGUCUGGACAGGUCAUUUCUCUGCCGCAUCCACAUGUUGAACGGAGUUUAAAGUCUGCAGUUGGCUCCUGCUAAUGUGAUGCAUGGUUUCCUGACUUCAGCUGCCGCGUCCGCUUCGGGAUGAAAUGACCAGUGCUUUGGUUAAGAAUGCACAUUAUACUGCAGUUCUUUGGGGAAUGAAGCCACCCUUGACUGAGGAGACACGGCACAGAAGACAGAGGCAGAAGCAGCUUUAUUGAAAAACAGAGCAUGAGUAGAACGACUUCAAAUCCCAUAUGGCACCACAGUGAGAAGUAACUUCCUCUGAGCUUCUUAGAGAAUCCAACAAUGUCCUGCUUCCUUGGGGAGCUGCAGCCAUGGGCACAUGGGAAUAGGGCUUCCACCAAGAGUCCCGUCAGUCACAGCAACAGGAGGUCUUCCUCAGACAACUUUGAUGAUAGUGGUUGUUAGCCAGAGCAAGCUAGAACCAGAAAGAAAAACUAUGAAGAUGCCACAGUGGGAGUCUGAGCACCUUGAGGCCUCCUGUUGGAAACUGGCAAACCUAACUGUGGGACACUUGGAUGCUGAGUUCUGGUAAACAUGCUGUCGGAGGCACGGUAAUUUAGUCAUUAACAUUUAAAAACGAUCUAAUUCUAUAUACAUACUCUGUUGAAGACUUCUUCCAACCACCUUGUAUUAUAAAUUUAAAAUAUGAAAUACAAACUCUUUAUGUGUCUUGACUCAGAUUACCUAGGAAGGGACAGUGACCUAUUCAUCAAUGUUUAGAAUUAGAGUAAGUUAUAGAAUAUAGUCUGAGAAAAUUACUUGGACCAAGAAAGCAAUGUCCCUGACAUUCAUCAAUCUAGAACCAGAGCUGCAGAUUAAGCUAGGUGCAAAUUUAUCAGAAAACAAUAUUUUUCCCAAAUACAUAUUGCAGCCAUAAAAUGCCCUAAAAACCCAGUUCUUAGAGGGACUAUUGCUUACUUACUGAGAAAUUGUAUUCUCUGAAAUCAUAGACUAUGAGAUGCAUUGCUGUUUAAAAUUAUUGCAAUAAGAAUGAAACAUCUCACUCUUAUCUGGAGGAGUUAAGUCAUUGUGAUCAGUGAAGCCUUGAUUUAAGCUCCUGUGCAAAGCUUCAGAGAAUGGGUCUCAGGACACAACAUUUGACAUCUAUUUUGACUUCAUUUCCAAGAAAAUAGGACUGCUAUGGUUUGAAUGUUUGUCUCCCUCAAACCAAGGUGUCGGAGGUGGGGCCUAAUGGGAGACGUUUGGGUUAUCAGGGAGGGUCCCUCAUGAAUAGAUUAAUGCUCUCCCUGGGGGUAGGGAACAGUUAGUGAGUUCUUGCUUUAUUCAUUCUCAAGAGAGCUGGUUGUUAAAUAGAGCCUGGCGCCUCCCUCCUCCCUCCUUGCUUUCUCUCUCACCGUAUGAUCUUAGCACAUUACACCUCCCCUCACCUUCUGCCAUGAGUGGAAGCAGCCUGAGCCUCUCACCAGGAGCAGAUGCUGGUGCCAUGCUUCUUGUACAGCCCACAGAGCAGUGAGCCAAAUAAACCUCUUUUCCUUAGAGAUUGCGCAGCCUCAGAUGUUCCUCUAGAGCAACACAAAAUGGACUAAGACAAGAACCAUAGGUCCAUUUCACAGUACAGAGCUGAGGUUGACCCCUUUUAUACACAACCAUACUUUCUUAGAGCCCAUAGAAUAUCAUUUCAUUUACAUCACACCUAAAUUCCACUCUUUAGCAAAAUCUUAUGUUAACCCUAUAUUUUCCUUUGUUUGAUGAGAUACCCCACAAUUGCUCUGUUGUGCAGUCCCCACACUGCAAUGAGUCAGUAAACUCAAUUGGUUUGUUUACAGGUUGUCCCUGGUGGUUUUAGGCUGAUUGGGCUAAGACAAACCACAUCUUAUUUUUUAAAUGUCUCCUUUAAGCAAAUGUUAUUAUCUGUAUUUUACUCUAUUCCAUAAGCAGAAGUGACAAAGUAGUCUAAUUUUACCAAAAGAUGCUUAUAGCAUAAAACUUUCUAUGCUGUAAACAUAGAAAGUACUUGAAAUCAAAAAGAAAAAAUUACUGUCCUUAAAAUGAAAAAAAAUAUACACACAGAGUUGGGGUUUUUUCACUUUACUAAAGCUCAGGCUGUGCUUAUUACAAUAGAACAGUGAUCAAAACUACAGCUUUUUUUCCUCCUUUAUAAUAUGACCAAACAAGGGUUAGUGGCAAUGAGCACUGCAUCACUUAAAAGAUACUGAAAAACUUGAAAUACUGAUGAACCUCUAACAAACACCUUCUUCCCAAUCCUCACUCUUGACCUAUGACCUUGUUUCCUUUUCACUGAGAAACAGAGAAAAAAUUAGAUGAGAAUGUGUACAAGCUCUCACCACAAGAUCUUCCUACCUCCUCUAACUGCACCUAUAUACUAUUACUAUCAAAGAUCCCUCUGUGUCCCUAACAAAGGCUAUUUCCUCUCCUUUUGCACUAAAUUCCAUAUACUCAUGCCUAUGGGGAGACAUUGUUCCAGUAAUUAUCUCCUUUCCUCUGCUUGGGUCAGCCUCUAGGAUGGACCCCCAUGAUCCCCACCUCCUGGUAUCCGCGCCAUGAUGCAAUCUGCUUACAGCCUAAAUCAGGAUGAACCAUAUGACUCAUAGAACACUGCAGAAGGCAUGAUGUGUGACUUCAGAUGUGAAGUCAUAGAGGACAAGGACACAGCCACCUUCUUGGAUUUCUCACUCUGUGGAAGGGCAGUGACAUUCCAUGAGACAAGCAGUCCUGUGGUGAGGCCCAUGUCAAGAAGGCCUGAGAUCUCCCACCAUCAGCUACAGCCAAUUUGUCAGUCACGUGAGUAAACCACCUGGGACGUGAAUCCUCUCGACUUAACCACCUCUUCAGGUGGCCAGAGCCCUAGCCCAGGUCUGACUGCAACCUGAUGAGAAACCCUGAGUAGGAAGACCUGCUUGAGCUGCUCCCAAAUUAUUGAUCCACAGACACUAUGAGAGAUAAUACGUACUUAGUGUUCUUUUAACCCACUACAUUUUGGUUGGCUGUAUUUAUUACCCUGUAACAGAUGACUAAUACAUCUCCUGUGAUCAAAACACUUCAGAGGUUCCCCAUUUCUCUCAGAGAAAUAUCCAAAGUCCAUAAGGCCUGUGAGGCCCCUCACAUUCUUCCCACCCCCAUUACCUCUCUAACUCCAUUUUCUACCACUCUCCUUCUUUCCACCUCAACCACAGCUACAGUGACUUCUUUGCCCUUUCUCAAAUCUGCCUCAGGGCCUCUGUACUGGACACUCUCUCCCCACUCCCACUCCCUCCUCCAGGCCUUCACUGAAAUGUCUCCCUCUCAGUGAGGACUUCCUUUCCUAAACUGCAGUACCCCCAACCUACACACACACACACACACACACACACACACACACACAGAGUCUCUAGUCUUCCUAGCUCCUUAAUUUUUUUUUCCUUAGCACAUAUCACUAUUUCAUAUACCAUAUUUGUCAUCUAUUUUCUGGUUUCCCUUUCUCAGAUGUAAGCUAAGUUGGUGCAGGGGUUUUUGUCUGUUCCCAAUGUCUAGAAGAGUGUCUGAUUUACAGUAGACACUCCAUGAAAUUUGUCAAAUGAAUACACCAGUGUUAAGAGUAUAAGAGUGUAAUAGUACCUUUAAAAAUGCCUCAAAGAUAAAUCUUUUGAUUUAUCUUUAUUUUUAGAUCUCUACCCCCACUUUAGCCACUUCUGAAAUUUACUACUAGAAAAACCUUUUCUUUCGUGAAGAACUGUCUCACAAAAAUAGCAGUUAAAUAGGAAGCUAUCCUAACCCACUGUUUGCCUUUUCCCUUGUGAAACUCAGACCAAAAUUGAAAGUCAUCUAUUGUAACUAUGUGUUCUUGGCAUCUAAACUCUGUUUUGUUUCAUCUUGACUUUCUUAAUUUCCUAGGUUUUUUCCUUUGUUCCUAUUAUUUUAUUGUUUUUAUUCUAUAUUGCUUCAAAGACUUUAUGAAAUUAAGUAAAUUAUAAAUACAAAUAU
rnacentral:lncRNA from 1 species